rnacentral:rRNA from 1 species
AGAGUUUGAUCAUGGCUCAGAUUGAACGCUGGCGGUAUGCUUAACACAUGCAAGUCGAACGGUAACAGGCAAAGCUUGCCUUGCGCUGACGAGUGGCGGACGGGUGAGUAACGCGUAGGAAUCUGCCUAGUAGUGUGGGACAACAUGUGGAAACGCAUGCUAAUACCACAUACGCCCUACGGGGGAAAGCAGGGGAUCUUCGGACCUUGCGCUAUUAGAUGAGCCUGCGUUGGAUUAGCUAGACGGUGAGGUAAUGGCUCACCAUGGCGACGAUCCAUAGCUGUUCUGAGAGGAAGAUCAGCCACACUGGGACUGAGACACGGCCCAGACUCCUACGGGAGGCAGCAGUGGGGAAUAUUGGACAAUGGGCGCAAGCCUGAUCCAGCAAUACCGCGUGUGUGAAGAAGGCCUGCGGGUUGUAAAGCACUUUCAAUUGUGAAGAAAAGCUUUUGGUUAAUACCCAAGAGUCUUGACGUUAACUUUAGAAGAAGCACCGGCUAACUCCGUGCCAGCAGCCGC